rnacentral:rRNA from 1 species
CCUACGGGUGGCAGCAGUGAGGAAUAUUGGUCAAUGGACGAGAGUCUGAACCAGCCAAGUAGCGUGAAGGAUGACUGCCCUAUGGGUUGUAAACUUCUUUUAUAUGGGAAUAAAAUGUUCCACGUGUGGGAUUUUGUAUGUACCAUAUGAAUAAGGAUCGGCUAACUCCGUGCCAGCAGCCGCGGUAAUACGGAGGAUCCGAGCGUUAUCCGGAUUUAUUGGGUUUAAGGGGAGCGUAGGUGGAGUGUUAAGUCAGUUGUGAAAGUUUGCGGCUCAACCGUAAAAUUGCAGUUGAAACUGGCAGUCUUGAGUACAGUAGAGGUGGGCGGAAUUCGUGGUGUAGCGGUGAAAUGCUUAGAUAUCACGAAGAACUCCGAUUGCGAAGGCAGUUCACUGAACUGCAACUGACACUGAGGCUCGAAAGUGUGGGUAUCAAACAGGAUUAGAUACCCUUGUAGUC